rnacentral:ribozyme from 1 species
UGCCCAGCAGCUCCUAUCCCUACCUCCUCGUGGUAUAGGCCGGGGUACGAGUAACCUUGGGGAAGAUCGGGUAACCAACCCCGGUGGGAACUUUGGCGGGAAGGGAGGG